GUUUGGACCACAGUUUUGGAAGGUGUGCUGAGGCGCAGGGGGCACCACCACUGAAAAAUUACAUUUUUCUGACUAUUUUCACUUGCUUUUGUCCAGCGUGGCCUAUUAACAUUGUGGCACUGGUCUUUUCUCUAAUGAUAGUGUUUUUCUGAAAAGUCUCAAAGCAGUUAUGAUGCAGAAGACUAUGAAGGAGCUCAGCGGUUGGGGAGAAAGGCUCUUCACAUGGGAAUCGCUUCCCUAGUCAUUGGCCUUGUGAUCAUAACGGUCUUCUGUGUUGUA